UACGGGGGGGGCAAGCGUUAUUCGGAAUUAUUGGGCGUAAAGGGCGCGUAGGCGGCUUGGCAAGUGGAAGGUGAAAUCCCUCGGCUUAACCGAGGAACUGCCUUCCAGACUGCUUUGCUUGAGGCCGGGAGAGGCGAGUGGAAUUCCCAGUGUAGCGGUGAAAUGCGUAGAUAUUGGGAGGAACACCAGUGGCGAAGGCGGCUCGCUGGACCGGUUCUGACGCUGAGGCGCGAAAGCGUGGGUAGCAAACAGG
rnacentral:rRNA from 1 species